rnacentral:rRNA from 1 species
GACGAACGCUGGCGGCGUGCUUAACACAUGCAAGUCGAACGGAAAGGCCCUGCCUGCAGGGUACUCGAGUGGCGAACGGGUGAGUAACACGUGGGUGAUCUGCCCUGCACUUCGGGAUAAGCCUGGGAAACUGGGUCUAAUACCGGAUAGGAGCCAUUUUUAGUGUGAUGGUUGGAAAGUUUUUUCGGUGUAGGAUGAGCUCGCGGCCUAUCAGCUUGUUGGUGGGGUAAUGGCCUACCAAGGCGGCGACGGGUAGCCGGCCUGAGAGGGUGGACGGCCACAUUGGGACUGAGAUACGGCCCAGACUCCUACGGGAGGCAGCAGGGGGGAAUAUUGCACAAUGGGCGCAAGCCUGAUGCAGCGACGCCGCGGGGGGGAUGACGGCCUUCGGGUUGUAAACUCCUUUCGCUAGGGACGAAGCUUUUUGUGACGGUACCUAGAUAAGAAGCACCGGCUAACUACGUG